UUAUAGAUUUAAGCGUGCAGUUGUAUUUCCGGGAAGAUUGUUUUCUUUUUUUGUCUAUAGAUAUACUAUCUCAAUCACUGUGAUAUUACAGGCGGCGUGAGUGAUAAUUCAAGAAUUGUUUCUUUCUUCUAGAACAGAAAUGGUUAAAUUAUUCGUAGGGAACAUCCCAGAUGAUCUAUAUAGCAAUGAGUUGCGUGAACUUUUUCAAGAAUAUGGUUCAGUUGAAGAGGCAACUAGACUAUCAAAAUUUGCAUUUGUUCAUAUGCCGAAUGAGGAUGAAGCUGAUCGUGCUUUGAAAGGAUUAGACAAAUAUCAUCUGAGAGGUUUUAAUAUUAAUGUGGAGAUUUCAACUAGCACAGCAGGAGAGAAAGGCGGACCGAGAAAUAGAAAUGAAAGAGGAAAUUCCGCUGGACCUACGCGUGGUAGGGGGAUGAAUGACCGGGGAAGAGGAGGCGAUAGCGCUUACAGAGGAGGCCCACCUGGGGGUCAAAGUCAUUCUAAUAACCGAUAUAACCCAUAUAACGAUGGACCUCCUGGUCCAUAUUAUCAAGCGGGAAAUCGAUCUGAAUAUGAACGCUAUUUCGAGAAGAGACCUCUUAAUGAUAUGGAAAGGCGGCUGUUAAACGUACUUCUUAGAAGAAAGGAAGACUUUGAUGGACCUCAGCAACAACCCGUUUGGGAUCCUUACAACAGGCCACCGCCGGAAGCCUACAAGAGGCCAAAUGAAGGGUAAGCGACGCUUAAACACCAAUGUCGUUUACGUGGUCAUCAGGAAUAUUAGACCGGGGAGCUCCUAUAAGGCCGCGAUUACAACCAACAAGAGUAAAUCAGGGGUUACUGGAUCGACCAUCUAUGGAUCAACUCUGGGUGCCUACCAAUAAGCAUGUAGUAGAUUAUCAUUGCUACUAUUCUAUGUAUCUAUUCUCUGCUCUCCUUCUAUGUAUAUAUAUAUAUAUAUAUGUAUAUGUACUGUAUAUAUAUAGGUAUUAAGUGUAUAAAAAAAAAAAGUUAUCCAUUUUAUUCAUAUCUUUGUAAACAGCUAUCUUGGAAUCAAAUUCAUAUGCAGCACAAGAAAAUUGCACUGUUAUACUAUACAAGACAAAAUAACUUUUUGAUAAUAGCUUUUUUAUUAAAAAUUUAUGAUUUUUGUUUCACUAUUUUUGUCGAUUUAAAACUGAAGAUUUGUAAUAAGGCGUUUUAUUUUUUGUUAAAAUAUAUGCUAGUAAACAGGUAUUUUUUUAAAAAA
rnacentral:misc_RNA from 1 species